UGUGCCAUUUCACGCCCUAUUAUCUUUUUUAUUCUGAAAGAAUGAAAACAACCCCUGCGAUUGCGUUAUCUUUCAGUAUAAAUUGGUUGUUUCUGGGAGAUCCCAACAUGACCGACGGGAAAGUUCAUCGUGCCAGUAAAUUAAUUUCGGUGGGUGCAAUUCACCACAGUUUAGAUGUAAUUCUACCGGGGAAACAUAAACAGAGGCACGGAUGGAAAGUAAGUUAAUUCUAGGACGCGCUAUCCCGGAGGACGGGCUUGGAUAUUUGGGCCAUGACCAGGUUGCGAUCAAUAUAGCGUCCCGUCGGUGAAGCAUCGACGAAAGUCUGCCAGCAACGUUGGGACAAUCCUUGCAUACAUUCCUGUGAAAAUGGAUUCGUUCUGUACUCAGUGCAAACGGAAAGUAAAAGAUCACAAGGAAGGUCUUAUUAAAUAAAUAAAACUAUUCAAGGUCCAGCGAAUUAAAAUAUCUAACAAUAAGUAGUUCCUUGGAUCGCAACGAUAGCUGAAGUCGAUGAGUUGGAGGCCGCAAAUGGGCCAAUAAAUAUUCUGACGAUAAUGAUAGUCGACUACAUGCGCCGAGGAUAUGUUUGCGUUAUCAGACACGCACGGUACGUGUUUACGGUCUGAAAGAAGAAAACACGAGGCAAACAGAUGGCAGAGCAUCGAAAUCCCUGCUUGAUUGCAGAGCUCGUUGUUUAACGGAAAAGAAGCAAGAUCACUUUAGGAUUGAAGAAGGAUUACAUUAAAGUGGAAGGAGAACGAUAUCAAAGAACAGUCAGCAGCUCGAUAACAAUCGGGAAAGGAAAAAUGUAACGAUCUGAAGUUUUUCCGUCAUUCCUAAGAAAACUGCUGCGUUACUCAUCGUUCAACGUUUACAAAGGCUACGCUUGAGCGUGCCAAUAGUGUAAAUCGAGCUUUAUAGUCGUUGUUGCGAGAGAGGUGAAAGGAUUGAGCGGGCCAAAAUCAGGCAGAAGGAUAAGGAGGUAGGUGUCUCGAUAGUAGAAAAUGACACGAACAAACAACGAUGGAGACCCAUUUUGCCGUUGAAGCGAGUUCACCGUGUCUGACCUCUUUUGCGACGGGCGCUUUUCCCCGCGAGGAAAAAUACGCCGUUCAUCCGAAGCAGAAUGGGAUUGGGUGAAAGUCGUUCAGGUGAUUCAAGGGAUGCCGUCCAAAGAUAGAUCCGAGACAAUGCACGAAAGCGUUUCGUGUAACUUGCCAAACGUUUGAUCGUUUCUUCGACUUCAUCUGGGUCGAUUGUAAAUCCCAAAGGAACGAGAAGCGGCUGCUUAACCAUUUAGAACUUUAAGACCUAGUUUUAGGGAACACGUGCUUGCCACUACAGGCUGAUCCACGUGACUUUUUCUUUAAUAUACUUAACAAAAAAUUUAGAGGAAUAUAUAUUUUUGCAAAUACAACACGCUUGUAUAAAAUUAAAAUUAAAAAAAAAAAAAUAUGCCCUUGCGGGGAUUCGAUCUGGCGAUCCUUAGUUUUGAAAUUCCCGCCCUUCGCCGCUCAAUUCUUGUAACUAUUAAAAUAUCUCCUAUGUUUUAUAAUGUAGAUAAAUAUUAUAAGAUCUAUUAAAUUAUUUUUAUUAAAAAA